GCACAUGGGGUGCACUGAUGGUGGGCCCUUCUCUGGGACCCUCAUGGUAUACCUGUGCCAGAGGAGCAAGAAGCCCCACGCCAUUUCCCAACCUCCUUACCAGUGGGCUGUGAGCACUGAAGGGGGCUAUCUAGUG
ensembl:snoRNA